GACGAACGCUGGCGGCGUGCUUAACACAUGCAAGUCGAACGGAAAGGCCCUGCUCUUGUGGGGUGCUUGUGUGGCGAACGGGUGAGUAACACGUGUGUAACCUGCCCCUGACUUUGGGAUAACUCUUGGAAACUGCGGCUAUUACCGGAUAGGAGCUUCUGCAGCAUGUUGGGGGUAGGAAAGUUUCGGCGGUUGGGGAUGGACUCGCGGCUUAUCAGCUUGUUGGUGGGGUAGUGGCUUACCAAGGCUUUGACGGGUAGCCGGCCUGAGAGGUUAACCGGCCACAUGGGGACUGAGAGACGGACCAGACUCGAACGGUAGGCAGCGGGGGAGAGUAUUGCACAGUAGGCGGAAGCCUGAUGCGGCAACGCCGCGAGCGGAAAAACGGCCUACGGGUUGAAAACCGCUUUCGCAUGAGACGAAGCGAGAGUGACGGUAAUGAGUAAGAAAGCACCGGCUAACUACGUG
rnacentral:rRNA from 1 species